rnacentral:tRNA from 2 species
GCGGGCUUAGCUCAGUUGGUAGAGCAUCGCCUUUACAUGGCGAGUGUCUCCGGUUCGAGCCCGGAAGCCCGUACCA